UUUUCUUAGAUGAGUCUGCCUAACAGAUUUAUUUUAGGUAGUCAGCUAAUUUGUUUAGUUCUCCAGAUUUGUGAAUGUAAUGUCCUAUAUUUCAUGUAAGGAGUAAUCUGAAUUAAUGUUGAUAUGUCAAAAGUAUAACACCUCUUUCGCCUGUACGGCUGAGGAUAAAAAAACUACUCUAGGGGACGAGUUCCCGCCAACGGACAGUCUAAUCACAUUGGCUGUUGCCCAGUGACAUUGUUUCCCCCGCCUUACGUCACACAACGAGUGGGAUAACGUUGAAGGACACAGAGGGGAAUUACAACCCCUUUUCAGCUUUGCUUCACGAUCAAGAGGACUGCAUAGCCACAGGUAAGUCGCAUUUAAGGGUCAAAGAGCCUCACAUGUUUCAUGAGCUGCAGGUAAAUGACCUAAGACUCACAUAUGGUUUGCAAGCUGCAGUUUAGCCAUGCAAGUUAUAUAAUUAAGGAAAGCAAUAAUUUCUCUUGGAAUAAAGUUUAUCACAUCAGUUUCAAAGACCUUUAUACUGGCAAGCACUUUCAAAUUUAAAUGCAUAACAUUCAAUAUUUAAACCAUAACUGGCACUUGAUAAGUUACAAAACUUAAAAAAUUCAAAAGUG